rnacentral:rRNA from 1 species
CCUACGGGAGACAGCAGUGGGGAAUAUUGCACAAUGGGGGAAACCCUGAUGCAGCGACGCCGCGUGAGUGAAGAAGUAUUUCGGUACGUAAAGCUCUGUCAGCAGGGAAGAAAGAAAUGACGGUACCUGACCAAGAAGCCCCGGCUAACUACGCGCCAGCAGCCGCGGUAAUACGUAGGGGGCAAGCGUUAUCCGGAAUUACUGGGUGUAAAGGGAGCGUAGACGGUUAAGUAAGUCUGGAGUGAAAGGCCGGGGCCCAACCCCGGGACUGCUCUGGAAACUAUUGAACUUGAGUGCAGGAGAGGUAAGCGGAAUUCCUAGUGUAGCGGUGAAAUGCGUAGAUAUUAGGAGGAACACCAGUGGCGAAGGCGGCUUACUGGACUGUAACUGACGUUGAGGCUCGAAAGCGUGGGGAGCAAACAGGAUUAGAUACCCCUGUAGUC